rnacentral:siRNA from 1 species
AUUAUGGUGUUUAAAUUACAC